rnacentral:sRNA from 1 species
AUGUUGCACACCUGCGGGGGGAUGAGAAGCCCCGAACGGGGUUCGACAACUGGCGCAGCCAGUUGGACAGACUGGGAGCGCAGCGGACAGGCUGCCCGAAGGGCGAGCGAAGCGAGUCAAUCCCCCCCUCACCGCCA